rnacentral:misc_RNA from 1 species
UAUAUGUAAAUCUGCUGUAUAAUUAUCGGUUUAAUUAAUGAAUCAUAACUUAAUUAGGUUUAUCUGUACAGAUAGAGUGCGCGAGACUAGCUUUGCUGUGUUUUCUUAAACUUCUGACAGAGAAACAUCAAGACUUUUGCGAAUGACAGCUAAAGUUUUAAGUAUUUACUGAUUUGUUGAAAUGGAGAACGAGAAGGAAGGGAACGAUGAUUAUUAUUUAGAAUUAUCUUCUGAUCCUAUUAAGUUUGAAUCGGUUAGCAGUCUUACCAAUGUUUUUUUCGAUGAUUCCAAACAGCAAGUAUUUGCUGUUCGUUCUGGGGGUGUCACUGGCGUUCUGGUCAAGGGACCUAAUGAAAAUAUAAUAUUUAGGAUGGAGGAUAAAGGUCCAGUGAUAUCUAUCAAAUUUUCUCCAGAUAUGAAUAUACUUGCUAUACAGCGUACUAACACAUCUGUAGAGUUCAUGAAUUUUUCUCCUAUGCAUGAACCUGAUGGUAUUGAGUAUUCGCAGUCUUGCAAGGGAAGGACUGCAACUAUAUUAGGUUUUGUUUGGACACAUGGCAAUGAAAUAUUAUUUGUUACCGAUCAAGGAGUAGAAUUGUUUCAAGUUAAUCCAGAGAAACGUUGUACUAAAACAUUGAAAUCUUCUAAUUUAGUGAUCAAUUGGUUUGUAUUUUGUCCUAAAAGUUAUUUAGUUUUGUUGUCCACUGGUUCGGUAGGAAAUUUAAUGCAAGCAUUACACGUAACACCUGGCAACAUUCAAAAAUUUACUAAAUUUGAAAUGGAACCUAGUACAACCAAACCAGGAAAGCUUGCUGUCUCAGAAAGAGAUGUAGCUUUAGCUGUUUUGUAUGGAACACCUUGUAUUAUUGUCUUGCGACAUCAGGCAGGAGCUAAUCGUUCUGUUGGAACUGCAUUUGUCUAUGUAUAUACUAUUCAUAAGAUGUUAACAAUUAAAAAAAGUCAUAUUCUUAAGCUCGAUGCCAGUGGAAGAUUUGCUAUUAAUGUUGUAGACAAUCUUAUUAUUGUUCAUCAUCAGGCAUCAAAGACAUCAAUGAUUUUUGACAUAAUGUUACCUGGUGUAAGCGAUGGUACUGUGGUACAUCAUACUAGUGUAGCACCAGCAAAAUCUAUUAAACCUUACAAUCUCGUUGUCCCAGGUGCAACUUUGUCAGAUGAGCUUUUACAGCCUUGUCAAUUAUAUUCACCUAAUUGGGUAGUAUUUCAACCAAAUAUAGUCAUUGACGUUAAGUUAGGGUGCUUAUGGUACAUAGAACUGAGAUUGGAAGUAUUAAUUAAACUUAUUAAAGAGAAAGUUGUAUUAGUUGAAUUUCUUAUGCAAAGAUCUAAUGCGAAACAAAUUUUGAUACAAGUAUUGCAGCAAUUUAUGACAGAAUUGCCAGUAAGUUUAAUGGAUAUUCCAGCAAUUUUCGACAAAAUUAAUCCUGUAUAUAGAAAUUAUCUUGAGAAGGAAAUGCAGAAUCAGAUGGGUACUCCUCUUCAGAAUAAUACCAAAAAUGGUAACACUACUACGGAGAAUUACAAGUACAAAUUGAAAAUUGAACAAAGUGAUAUGUAUAGUAUCAUUUUACCUAAAUUUCCUGAAAGUAUAAUAGAACCAAAAAUGAUAGUAUGGGUCCUCUUAGAAUAUAUCAGGUCUUUAACAGAACAUGGAAUUCCUGUAGAACAUUAUUUACAUGAGUUAGUUAUUACAACAUUGGUGCAAAGAAAAGCAUAUUAUCAACUACAUCAAUUAUUGCAAUAUCAUGUUGUAGCUGACUCGAAACCUUUAGCUUGUUUAUUGCUAUCCUUAGAAAAUUUAUAUCCAGCUGCUCAUCAAUUAGCAUUGGAUAUGUUAAAACGAUUAGGAAAUGCACACGAAGAAAUAAUCGAAGUUCUUUUGUCUAAGGGUUAUAUAUUAGCUGCUCUUCGAUAUGUCCGUUCAGUUGGAAUGAUAGAUCAAGUAUCAGCUCGAAAAUUUUUAGAAGCAGCAAAAGCUUCUAACGAUGCUACCCUCUUUCAUUCAGUCUUUAAAUUUUUUGAACAGCGUAACUUAAGGUUACGUAAUACAACAGCUUUUACAAGGGGUGAACAUUGUCAACCGUAUGUUCAGCAUUUUAAAUAUUUAUUUCAAGGGACGGAUAAUGGAUGCAAUUCUGAUACAAACUCUAAUGUUACUACGGUCUCAUUAUAAGAUUGUCACUGUGAUCUCUUGUUAAUCAGAAUAUAGAUUUCUGUAUUUAAUUAUGUAAUCCCACCAUUUAGACGGAUUUACUUUAAUGCGCUUGAGCUACCAGAGCCCCGAUGUUACUGUAAUGUAUUAUGUAAAAAUACAAAUUCAGGGAUUUCUCAGUGUAAUUUGAAAGUAUAUUUCAUAAAGGAACAACACACA